CCUACGGGAGGCAGCAGUGAGGAAUCUUGGUCAAUGGACGAGAGUCUGAACCAGCCAAGUAGCGUGAAGGAUGACUGCCCUAUGGGUUGUAAACUUCUUUUAUAUGGGAAUAAAAUGUUCCACGUGUGGGAUUUUGUAUGUACCAUAUGAAUAAGGAUCGGCUAACUCCGUGCCAGCAGCCGCGGUAAUACGGAGGAUCCGAGCGUUAUCCGGAUUUAUUGGGUUUAAAGGGAGCGUAGGUGGAUUGUUAAGUCAGUUGUGAAAGUUUGCGGCUCAACCGUAAAAUUGCAGUUGAAACUGGCAGGCUUGAGUACAGUAGAGGUGGGCGGAAGUCGUGGUGUAGCGGUGAAAUGCUUAGAUAUCACGAAGAACUCCGAUUGCGAAGGCAGCUCACUGGACUGCAACUGACACUGAGGCUCGAAAGUGUGGGUAUCAAACAGGAUUAGAUACCCCAGUAGUC
rnacentral:rRNA from 1 species